AUGGUGAUGGACACUGCAUAAAUCUGGAAAAAGAGAAAACUAUAUUUUAGAAAACAUGUUUCGAUUCACAUGGUUUGAAGGUAAGAAAAGUGGUUAGUGUAUCUUUAUGACGUAAUAUUAACAGCAAGGAGACGAUUUUACUGUGUAAUUCUUCAUUCUCUGGAAGAUGGAGCGGCUAGUCAAGACAGCACUAAUGAUAACACUGAGACCAGGUUCUGUCAGGACAAUAUCAGAAGCGCUUCUUGCUGCAUCAGUGGAAUCCGCCACAGCAAUACCAAUGUCGGCUUUCUUCAGAGCAGGUGCAUCAUUCACCCCAUCUCCUGUCAUUCCGCAAAUAUGCUUUCUGGCUUGAAGUCUCCUCACAAUCUCGUACUUAUGCUCUGUAUAUAGGUUAAGAAAUCUUAUAUAGUUUUUUAUUAGACACCAUGCACGGAACCUAGAAAGGGAAAUUAAAUCGUGUUUUGUCUUAUACCAGGGAACACUCCAGCAAAGCCAUCAGCUUUCUCAAUGAGUUCAUCAAUGGGGAGAGAGCCAACUGCCUCAUUGUCACCAUCACCAAGCAGAGCUGUAGAUGGGUACAUAUUUGUUCCCAUUCCAAGCCUUCUUCCUGUCUCCUUGCCAAUGGCUAGCUGAUCACCUGUAAUCAUCUUAACACUGACUCCUAAAUCCAAAGCUCUUCUGAUCGUUUCAGCGCUGUCAUGGCGAGGAGGGUCGAACAGGGGUAGGAGGCCGACAAAUUCCCAGGGCCCUCCUGAGCUGUCCUUAUCCCCAUUAGGAACUUGCUGCAGAGACCAAUGAGAGUGACUUGUUACGUUAUUUGGAA
rnacentral:lncRNA from 1 species